CGCGGGGUGGAGCAGCCCGGUAGCUCGUCAGGCUCAUAACCUGAAGGCCGCAGGUUCAAAUCCUGCCCCCGCAACC
rnacentral:tRNA from 9 species